AGAGUUUGAUUCUGGCUCAGGACGAACGCUGGCGGCGUGCCUAAUACAUGCAAGUCGAGCGAGCUUGCCUAGAUGAUUUUAGUGCUUGCACUAAAUGAAACUAGAUACAAGCGAGCGGCGGACGGGUGAGUAACACGUGGGUAACCUGCCCAAGAGACUGGGAUAACACCUGGAAACAGAUGCUAAUACCGGAUAACAACACUAGACGCAUGUCUAGAGUUUGAAAGAUGGUUCUGCUAUCACUCUUGGAUGGACCUGCGGUGCAUUAGCUAGUUGGUAAGGUAACGGCUUACCAAGGCAAUGAUGCAUAGCCGAGUUGAGAGACUGAUCGGCCACAUUGGGACUGAGACACGGCCCAAACUCCUACGGGAGGCAGCAGUAGGGAAUCUUCCACAAUGGACGAAAGUCUGAUGGAGCAACGCCGCGUGAGUGAAGAAGGGUUUCGGCUCGUAAAGCUCUGUUGGUAGUGAAGAAAGAUAGAGGUAGUAACUGGCCUUUAUUUGACGGUAAUUACUUAGAAAGUCACGGCUAACUACGUGCCAGCAGCCGCGGUAAUACGUAGGUGGCAAGAGUUGUCCGGAUUUAUUGGGCGUAAAGCGAGUGCAGGCGGUUCAAUAAGUCUGAUGUGAAAGCCUUCGGCUCAACCGGAGAAUUGCAUCAGAAACUGUUGAACUUGAGUGCAGAAGAGGAGAGUGGAACUCCAUGUGUAGCGGUGGAAUGCGUAGAUAUAUGGAAGAACACCAGUGGCGAAGGCGGCUCUCUGGUCUGCAACUGACGCUGAGGCUCGAAAGCAUGGGUAGCGAACAGGAUUAGAUACCCUGGUAGUCCAUGCCGUAAACGAUGAGUGCUAAGUGUUGGGAGGGUUCCGCCU
rnacentral:rRNA from 1 species